UUGCCACUGGCAGUUGGGGUUCACCAAUUGAUUUGUACCAAGCAAUUUAUGAAGAAAUUGAAAAUAUACCACCUGUCAAGGAUCCAGCUCUGACCCGUGGCUCAGUUUCUGCUUCCAUUGUUUCGCUCAAUGAUAUCGAAUAUUACACCAGCCACAUUUUGGAUUUCAAAAGUCUUGGAUCGCAAAAUCCUGACCCGAACUCAUCCAGUAUUCAGGCGUUCCGUGAUUACGACGAUGCUGAGACUACAGACAAUGAUCCUAAGGGCGAUCACUUGCUGCUGGACCGUAUUCAUGAUGAUUUCGUCACACGGGAAAGUGCCGGCGGUGAUAUGUGAACUCUGGGUAAAAUACAUCGACAAAUCGAGGAUCCGACGACCCACGCAUGUGACUCACUGUGUAAUAUCUGAGGGAACGCCCUUAAGUUUUCAAUAAAUAUAUCCAUCUGGUAGAUGCUUAACGUUCACACAUAUACAUGUUUUGAGAAAAAAAAAAGCAAACGUUACCUUGUGUGGAGACAUCUAGAUUCGUUUCUUAAAUCUAUAAAUUAUCUUAAAAAGUAUGAAUACUGUCUAAUCAGAAUUGUAGGACAGAGGAUUUUUUUCGCGCAUUUUCAUGUAUAUAAUAAGACUGUACCACACCCCGCUGUAUCGACAAUACAACCCAUCAAAAGAAUUGAAGAACCGAUGACUAUCAUUCCAAGUUAUUU